UUAACUGGGUAAAGGGCUAGACACAAGAAAAUGAAGGAGAAGGAAGGAUAAAACUCCCAUUUCAGCACCCCCUACUAAGUGCAGCAAAAUAAGGUGCAGGAAGAAUUACCCACUACUAUUUGUACCCACAACUAAUAAUUUUGCUAUUGGUGUUUACAAAUGGGCCUAAAAUAGCGGUAUUAUGGGAUAAUUCAAGGGCCUUUCUUC
rnacentral:lncRNA from 1 species